rnacentral:misc_RNA from 1 species
UCCGUUUUGUCAAGGCCAGGUAAGGUUCUUCGCGUUGCAUCGAAUUGAGCCACAUACUCCACCGCUUGUGCAGGCCCCCGUCAAUUUCUUUGAGUUUUAAUCUUGCGACCGUACUUCCCAGGCGGCGCAUUUAACGCGUUAGCUUCGCCACGAAAGGGGUCGAUUCCUCUCACAGCAAAUGCGCACCGUUUACGGCUAGGACUAC